rnacentral:rRNA from 1 species
UGGUGACCAGCGGAGGAUCAUUACAGAGAUCAUGCCCUUCGGGGUAGACCUCCCACCCUGUGUUAUAUACGAUUGUUGCUUUGGCAGGUCGCCUUCGGGCACUCGGCUCUGGCUGAGGUGCACCUGCCAGAGGACCCCAAACUCUGUAUUUAGUGUUGUCUGAGUAAUAUUUUAAUACGUUAAAACUUUCAACAACGGAUCUCUUGGUUCUGGCAUCGAUGAAGAACGCAGCGAAAUGCGAUAAGUAAUGUGAAUUGCAGAAUUCAGUGAAUCAUCGAAUCUUUGAACGCACAUUGCGCCCCUUGGUAUUCCGGGGGGCAUGCCUGUUCGAGCGUCAUUUCAACCCUCAAGCUCUGCUUGGUCUUGGGCACUGCCGGUAACGGCUUGCCUUAAAACUAGUGGCGGUGCCAUUCGAGCUCUACGCGUAGUAAUUAAACCCUCGCGAUUGAGUCUUGGUGGAUGCUUGCCAGCAACCCUCAAUUUUUUAUGGUUGACCUCGGAUCAGGUAGGGAUACCCGCUGAACUUAAGCAUAUCAAUAAGCGGAGGAA